rnacentral:rRNA from 1 species
GCGACCCCAGGUCAGCGGGACUACCCGCUGAGUUUAAGCAUAUCAAUAAGCGGAGGA